AACGUAGGGAACCUGCCCAUGCGGCCGGGACAACUUCCGGAAACGGAUGCUGAUACCGGAUAAGGAAAGCGAAGGCAUCGUUUGCUUUGUUAAAGGAGCUGCAAGGCUCCGCGCAUGGAUGGACCUGCGGUGCAUUAGCUGGUUGGUGAGGUAAAGGCUCACCAAGGCGACGAUGCAUAGCCGGCCUGAGAGGGCGAACGGCCACACUGGGACUGAGACACGGCCCAGACUCCUACGGAAGGCAGCAG
rnacentral:rRNA from 1 species